rnacentral:snRNA from 1 species
GGAUGUGAGGGCGAUCUGGCUAUGACACCUGUCAUGCCAUUGAUCACCAGGGUUGAUUUGGCUGAUCUGGCUGGGCGGGUGAGUGCUCCCUUCCUCCCCCAGUGGUCCAUAUGUGUCCCUCCCGAAGCUGCACACUGGAUCAAAGAGGAUGACCACCCCCCAUAGAGGAGGACCGCUCCUCAGCCAAGGGUAUACAAGUAGCUGUGCUCCCCUUCUAGAACCUCCAAACAAGCUCUCAUGGGGAUGAGUUCCAAAUCAUGAGAAAAAGAAUCCUUCACAGAUACAGGCAUGAGGGAGGGAAGGAAGCAAUUCACAGGAACAGGACUUUGAUAU